rnacentral:lncRNA from 1 species
AUAGCUCUGCAUCUCCAGAGAGGAUGCUAGCCAGUGAAUUCUGGUCCCAGUACCACCACUACUGCAUACCUUAGAAAACAAAUAUCAUGGCUGGCCCUCUGCUAUUGGACACUAGAUACUGUUGCCACUCCUGAAAUGGAUGGAUUCUCAUCAUUAACUCCUGAUAACAGGGGUUGGCAGUCUGCAUAGAUAAUCCUAGUUCCAUGUUUCCUGGUAAUCCUGAGAUGACGGUAAGUAUCGGCUCAGAGUUGCUCACCUGGGCAUGUUUUCCUCACACAUCUUUAGCCCUACCCUACAGCCAAUGCUGUGCCACAAAUGGCAAGACUGCCCACGGCCACGAGAAAUGUGCACCCUGGAAAGGAAAAGCAUCCUGCUGGCGAAGACUUCAGGGCUUGCUGACUCAUGACCUUUCAAAGUGCAGAGCACGGCACGGUGGUGGCACCAUCUGUUUCAUUUUCCACAACUGAAGUCAGACCCUCCUUUGUCAUGUAUUCGUGUCAUUGACUGAAUUCUCUGCUGUGAUACUUUAGACAAUACUACCAGAAAUGAUCCAUUAAACUUCAGUUG